GCAGAGUGGAUGUAUGUGAAUGAAAUUGAUCAACAAAUCUACAUAUGGAUCAACAGAUGCUAGCAUGUGACUCCUAUUGCAGUCUUGCACUCACCUGGCAGUUUCUCUCUGAGUAGGACUACCUUUACCUACAGCUGAAGACCCCACCUUUGCAACUCAUUGUUGUCAGUUUAAAAAAAGAAGUAUAAUGAAUAUAAAGUUUCAGCCACUUACAGCACAAACUUACAAUACUUUGUUAUUGUUAUUUUAUCCCAGGACUGCAAUUUCAGUCUAACACAGGCAAGAAGCAUUACACUACAACCAAGAGAAGAAAGAAAUGACCGAUUCAGUCUUCAGGGCCUGCCUGAUGCUCUACUGCAGCCACCACCAUCUCCCAAAAAGGGGUGCAUGACGCUUUGAUGCUGUACGCACACACCGCUUAGCUGGACCUUUUAUGAGCCUGAUUUAGCCCCCAAAACAGGAAACUAGAUCAGAAAAAAGAAAUGGACUCUUCUCCUAGAACAACUGGGAGUACCUUACCCUCCUGCAACCUGACUCAUUUUCUACAAAUGCCCUGUCAACCUGUACCUUAGAGAAUAGCUUCUUAUUUGAUCUAUCUUAUACCAUAUAGGAGCACAAUGAGUUUUUGUGUGUGUUGUUGUUUGAUUUGUGAUUUUUUUUUCAAUUUAGCCUGACUGACAGCCAGCUAGUAUGCUCAUCAACCUCAAUGAACUUGGUGUGUCUAUAUGAAGAUCCAUUUGACAGCAGCCCUGAACCCUUUCAGUGUAACAAAAGUCACCUAAAUAUUUAAAAUUCUCCCUUAAGCAGGACAGUCUAGAAGGCACCAACAUCUCUUCUGGACUAUUUGCUUAAUUGAAGAUAGAUCUAACUAGGUAUAGCUGUUUCCCUUACCUUGAGCUUAUCAGGGAUAGAGACCUUCAGUUAGCCUUAAUUCUCCACCAGCAGUUUUCUCUUUUAAAAUACAAGGUUUACAUAAAAAAUCCCACAAUAACAAAAAAUAAAGGUUUAAAUGGAGCUCUUACUCUUUUCUUUAUUCAUCAGCUUUUGCCAUAUGCAAAGCUGUUUUUUUUAAGGGAUCAUGAAAGUCUUCCCCACUGAAAUUAUUGUAUCCUAAGCAGUCUUUAGCUAUUGAACAGUCUGCUUUUCCUCCAUCUGCUAGCAUGCUCCUCCUCCUUAUUUGCUGUUUUCAUAUCAUCAGUCUAUGUUUGCACUCCUCCUGUGCCUUCCUGGGGUUUUUCAACUGUCUUGUCUUCAGCACACAAAAAUCCAGUGGCAUCCUCCUUGACUAUCAGAAACCAUACACACUAUUUCCUUUCAAUACUAGAAACAGGAAUGAAAUCAAAUUCAAACACUUGUUACUUAACUAAGAAGAAGACCAAACAAGUAUCUCCAUAAGUAUGCCCUGUCCUUUCACUGCCGGUAACUAUGGGUGGCAAUGAAAAAUAGAGCAAGUUGUUUUCUUUUCUUUGGUGAGCAAUAGUCAAAAAUGUCAUGACCAAGAAAAUAAAGAAAACUGACAGGUUUGCUUGAAGUUUCAUCCGGGCGUCUCACAUCUACCUGUCUUAGUGUCUAGGUGGCUACAGCCUGUAUUAUCUGUGCCUAGAAAGCUCAAGCAAUCGGCAGGUGUCACCUGAAGAAUUCCAGCUGAGGAGGCUACGUGCCACUUUGGUCCUAAUUGUUCUGCUGACCUAUUUGCUUUUACUUGUGGAGAUUAGGGUAUGCCAGCACACCAUGUAAUUGUAGGACUCCGUCUGCACAGUACAAGUUGCAGAAAAUAAGCUUACAUUUUCUUUUAAUAAGUGAAACUUAUUUAAGCAUGUACACUCCCAGCUUGUCAGCUCCCUGCUGCUGUGGCUUAGCUUUUGUGCCUUACCUUGUCCUUAGACGAGUCCUGAAGGUCACUUUUCUACACAGCAAGCACAUAUUCAAAGUGUUCCUUAGCAGGAUGGGAACCCUUCUGCUAAAUUGCUGUGUAGCCCUUAAAAACAUAGCUAGUGGUGAUCGCAUAACAAUAUCAAUCAUUGCUUCAUCCUCACAGUCAGUAUUUAGAUAGAGUUUUGAGGCUGGGAAAUAUUCUUGCCGUGUUCAAAAUGCUUCUGAAUGGAGUAAGCAAAGCGCUUCCAAAAGCACUCUAAAAAAAA